rnacentral:rRNA from 1 species
AAUAGAUACCCUGGUAGUCCACGCCGUAAACGAUGAGUGCUAAGUGUUAGAGGGUUUCCGCCCUUUAGUGCUGCAGCUAACGCAUUAAGCACUCCGCCUGGGGAGUACGGUCGCAAGACUGAAACUCAAAGGAAUUGACGGGGGCCCGCACAAGCGGUGGAGCAUGUGGUUUAAUUCGAAGCAACGCGAAGAACCUUACCAGGUCUUGACAUCCUCUGACAACUCUAGAGAUAGAGCGUUCCCCUUCGGGGGACAGAGUGACAGGUGGUGCAUGGUUGUCGUCAGCUCGUGUCGUGAGAUGUUGGGUUAAGUCCCGCAACGAGCGCAACCCUUGAUCUUAGUUGCCAGCAUUUCAGUUGGGCACUCUAAGGUGACUGCCGGUGACAAACCGGAGGAAGGUGGGGAUGACGUCAAAUCAUCAUGCCCCUUAUGACCUGGGCUACACACGUGCUACAAUGGAUGGUACAAAGAGCUGCGAACCCGCGAGGGUAAGCGAAUCUCAUAAAGCCAUUCUCAGUUCGGAUUG